rnacentral:sRNA from 1 species
GUCUGCGGGGGCGGGGGUCGGGUGGAGAGGAGGGUUGGGAAAGCGUAGGAAACAGGCAUCGGAACAGAAACAGGAGCCGGAAAAGCGUUUUGUGCGCUUUAGGUGCUCCGAGUGGGAAUCUCAGAGCAGUACUCUUGGCCCGGAACUCCUCCACCUUGCCACAGUGGGAACAGUAGAGACAGAGCUCAGGAGCCCAGAGCAGGACAUGGAACUGGAACCGGAACAGGAAACACAAACGGAAGCAAACAGUGAAGUCCAACUGCCAAACUCCAGCUUGGUCGCCCAGAGCUGGACUUCCCUGAGUCUUGCAGGUGCAGGGUAUGGUCCCGGUGUGAUGAGUUGAACCCCACAGCACUCGGAGAUUAUUCAGAUCUGCAGGCUCUGUUGCCUGCCUGCUUGGGAGGGGAGCUUUUUUUCUUCCCACAGACUGUGCCCUAGCCCCACAUUCCUCAUAACAAAGUCUCAGAGCCAAGUUCAUCAAGAGUUCCUGGGUUUUUCCAAGGCAUGUGCAGACUGUGCCAUCGUUCAUGUGCAACACCAAGGGAAGGAGAAGGGCGCCCAUGUCCACCACACUCACCAGAGGGGUAGCACUUGGCGACAGCACAAGAUGGCAGAUCCCGGGAGCCUGAAUAACUAUCACCUCCCCACCCCAUCAUCAGGUCCAAGUACUCCUCAGCGCCUGAAGUCAGAGCCCAUGACUCUCUGGGUCUUCUGUCCUGGGAUCAUCAGAGGUCAGAGCCAGGGCCGAGGCAAGGCUCAUAGGAGGUUAAGGGUAGCUCAGUACUAUCACACAUAGGUGCCCCUAGAACCUCCCAAAGUCUGAAGUGUCUUCUCCACGGCUGCCCUAGAAAGGCAUAAGUUAUGAGCCUGCCUGACCAAGACGUAAAGGAUCCUGGACGGAGGCGGGCGCCGUGACGACUUGGUGCCAUGAUCGACCCAGAUGCCAUGUUCCACAACAGCCCGGCUGGGUGUUUAUCAUUGCUUCCUUUAGCAAGUUUAAGUAACUAUAAAGAGCGAAAUAUAAAUAAUUAUUAAGA